GAAGGGGAAAUCCCUUUUAGUUUUGAGAUUAGGUUGCCAGGCUUUGAAAAGGGCUUAAAAACAAAGUCAUGCUCAGCCUUUUGUGGGAGAGAUCCAGAUGUUAUGUAGAUUUUUUUGUUUGCAUGUUCAUUUUGAGCGGACCAGGCUGUGAGCGCUGCGUUUACGUGUGCAUGUAGCUGGACUUUGCCGUAGAUCGACGUUGCGCUUGUGGAAUGUCUGCUGAAGUAUUAGCUCGGUAAUGCCUUCUAAUGGUAGUGCUAAUUACGGUGGGGUUAUUUAGCAAAUUAAGUGAGCUGAUGCACCCCUCACCCUUGAGCACCAAAUGAACUUUUCCAAGCACACACUUACACAGAGAGACACGUUAAUUUUGGUGUGUUUCUCUCCCCCAAUCGUUUUGCCGGAGCUACCCCAGCCUUACCUCAGAGCAGUCAAUUACUAAAGCUGGCCAGGAUCAUCAAUCAUGGGGGAUGCUUGAAGUUUAGGGGAGGAGCGAUGGUCAAACUAUCGAUUGCUGCAGUUUUGUCCUCCCCAGCCCCCCACCCUCGUUCACGGUCCCCUGCACAUAAAAUCUAAACCAGACUAUCCCGUUAAUAGUGGGAUUUAUCAAUGAUUAUGUACCCGGUUAUGAAUGUGGCCUUAUACAUAGCUGGCUUUUAAAAUACACGGAAGAAAAAUAUUAUUUAUUCGGUUAGGUUUUGGUUUAUUUUGCUUUGAUUUUCGUGGUGAUGACGAUGAUUAUAAGAUUUUUUUUUUUUUCCUGAAACUUUAAGAAAAUUACUCAAGGGGUAGUUACAGAUAUUUGGCCUGAUUUUAAUAGGCGUAGGGAAUGAGCUCCAGAGGUCAAUAAACCCCUCCAAAAUGAUGAAUGAUUGAGUACCUGUGAUGAUGAUAGUGAUUACCGGAGCAAUUAAACAGUUUGAUUAAAUGAGCCAUCAUAACAAUGAUGUCUGCGGGAAAUCAGCCCUCACGUAUAAAGAAAGAUAGUGUGAAGCGCUGACAAACGCCAGUGGGCAUUCCUGCGUGUUCUGAUAGCGCCGAGCCCUGCAGAGCAGAGCAGGGCUGUAUUUACAAAUAUGGGGGCAAUACCAAGAAAAGUCCUACUUUUAGCCAGAAUUGCACCCUGCUUAAAACCAGCCAGGAGCUGGGGAGCAGACCCGGGUUUGUUUUUUUUUUUUCCUUUUUUUUUUUUUUUUAAUAUCUUUUUUUUCCAGAGGAUCUCCUCCAAGAUUAAAGCUAGUCCUAAGAGCAACCGAAUUGCUGUGACUGACUUUCAUGGGACUGUAAAGAGAGCUGCCUAUAAAACUCCAGAAGAGGAGAGCUCUCCUUUUUACGCUGGAAUUCUUGGUCCGGAGAGAACAAUAUCCUCCUACCUCCUUUUGAAAUGAUACGGAGACCCUCACAACACACGGGCGAGCACUCCAAGUACGAGUCUCCCUCUUUUUUGUUUUUUUUUCCCCCGAUUUUUUCCCCAAAGAGCUGCUCGGCCCAUUGUUUGAAGUGGGAUUUAGCACGCAGCCCAAAGGGAAGAAAAAAAAAUAAAAUCUAAGGAGCCCCGUUUGGUAUUGCACGGAGAAAGAGCUGACAAAAUAUUACAGCUUGUCUCCUAGAAGGACGUGAGACGUGAUGGGAGCUGGCGGUGUGUUUCCGAAAGAAAGGUUUUUUUUUAUGUUUGGGUGGUGGUUUUUUUUUUUGUUCCCCCCCCCAAGAUUGUGAUCGCCUUUGUACGUCUUUCUUUUGAUCCCACAAAGAGAAUGCCAUAUCCAUAUAUGUGUUUGCUCUCCGUACAAGAAAUGCAAAGGAUCGCACAAUAGAAUAUGCGGCCGGUUAGUCCUCAUAAUGCUUAGUUUCGCUGUAAUUAAUUGAAAACAGUUAUUAGGUCGUCAUUGGCAAUAGCAUAAAUAAUUGCAGCAGAUUUUUACUUAAAAUUGACCGGUCACAGAGUGAUAGAUCGAUUCGAGGUAUAAAAAUGAUGUAUCAAAACAUCAAUGUCGAUUAUUUGAAAUAUUGUAGUCAAAUCUUUUUAUUGCUUCAUCGGUUAAGUGUCUGAAAGUGCUGUGUUCCAACAUAUAUUUAUGUUGUCAAUACUGUCAAAACUGUCAGUUUUAUUACAGUGGAUUUGUAAUACAUUUCGGAUUUGCUCAUUUACAUAAAAUGUCCACCCCAGAUA